rnacentral:rRNA from 1 species
CAGUAGCCACGGUAAUACGAAGGGGGCUAGCGUUGUUCGGAUUUACUGGGCGUAAAGCGCACGUAGGCGGACUUUUAAGUCAGGGGUGAAAUCCCGGGGCUCAACCCCGGAACUGCCUUUGAUACUGGAAGUCUUGAGUAUGGUAGAGGUGAGUGGAAUUCCGAGUGUAGAGGUGAAAUUCGUAGACAUUCGGAGGAACACCAGUGGCGAAGGCGGCUCACUGGACCAUUACUGACGCUGAUGCACGAAAGCUAGGGGAGCAAACAGGAUUAGAUACCCCCGUAGUCCCUGUCUCUUAUAC